rnacentral:rRNA from 1 species
UACGUAGGAUCCAAGCGUUGUCCGGAUUUACUGGGUGUAAAGGGUGCGCAGGCGGACUUGUUAGUCAGAGGUGAAAAUCUCACGGCUCAACCGUGAAACUGCCUUUGAUACUGCAGGUCUUGAAUUGGGGAGAGAGUUGUGGAAUUCCGAGUGUAGCAGUGAAAUGUGUAGAUAUUCGGAAGAACACCAGUGGCGAAGGCAGCAACUUGGCCCUAUAUUGACGCUCAGGCACGAAAGCAUGGGGAUCAAACAGG